rnacentral:ribozyme from 1 species
UGAACGAUUUGUUCUGUAAAAGGGUUGGAUCCGACGCCCCUAGAUGGCUACUAUAGGCUCUCCUUCUCAACUCCUACUCAAUACGUCCGCGACGUGCAGAAUGGUAACUUGUCGCCUAGAUAUCCAAGCUUGGGUACACGGGGAAACCCACCCCCUUGGGCGGAUGUGCGGCAAGGCUGAAUUGAGAGGU